rnacentral:rRNA from 1 species
UACGUAGGUGGCAAGCGUUGUUCGGAAUUAUUGGGCGUAAAGGGCGCGUAGGCGGCCUGUUAAGUCGGCUGUGAAAGCCCGGGGCUCAACCCCGGAAAGUCGGCCGAUACUGGCAAGCUAGAGUACGGAAGAGGUAGCUGGAAUUCCCGGUGUAGCGGUGAAAUGCGUAGAGAUCAGGCGGAACACCCGUGGCGAAGGCGGCCAGCUGGGCCGUCCCUGACGCUGAGGCGCGAAGGCUAGGGGAGCGAACGGG